UAUACAUGAUGAAAUUGCUUUGGUCCGUGUUUUUGAAUAUCAUUGAUAUUAAAACAAAGCUAUUUUCUGAAUUU